GGAUUUAGAUACCCUGGUAGUCCACCCCGUAAACGUUGGGAACUAGUUGUGGGGACCAUUCCACGGUUUCCGUGACGCAGCUAACGCAUUAAGUUCCCCGCCUGGGGAGUACGGCCGCAAGGCUAAAACUCAAAGGAAUUGACGGGGACCCGCACAAGCGGCGGAGCAUGCGGAUUAAUUCGAUGCAACGCGAAGAACCUUACCAAGGCUUGACAUAUACGAGAACGGGCCAGAAAUGGUCAACUCUUUGGACACUCGUAAACAGGUGGUGCAUGGUUGUCGUCAGCUCGUGUCGUGAGAUGUUGGGUUAAGUCCCGCAACGAGCGCAACCCUCGUUCUAUGUUGCCAGCACGUAAUGGUGGGAACUCAUGGGAUACUGCCGGGGUCAACUCGGAGGAAGGUGGGGAUGACGUCAAAUCAUCAUGCCCCUUAUGUCUUGGGCUUCACGCAUGCUACAAUGGCCGGUACAAAGGGCUGCGAUACCGUGAGGUGGAGCGAAUCCCAAAAAGCCGGUCCCAGUUCGGAUUGAGGUCUGCAACUCGACCUCAUGAAGUCGGAGUCGCUAGUAAUCGCAGAUCAGCAACGCUGCGGUGAAUACGUUCCCGGGUCUUGUACACACCGCCCGUCAAGUCAUGAAAGUCGGUAACACCUGAAGCCGGUGGCCUAACCCUUGUGGAGGGAGCCGUCGAAGGUGGGAUCGGUAAUUANGACUAANUCGUAACAAGGUA
rnacentral:rRNA from 1 species